UGGCGGACGGGUGAGUAACGCGUGGGUAACCUGCCUUACACAGGGGGAUAACACCUGGAAAUAGGUGCUAAUACCGCAUAAGCGCACAGCUUCGCAUGAAGCGGUGUGAAAAACUCUGGUGGUAUACGAUGGUUCCGCGUCUGAUUAGCUAGUUGGUGGGGUAAUGGCCUACCAAGGCAACGAUCAGUAGCCGGCCUGAGAGGGUGAACGGCCACAUUGGGACUGAGACACGGCCCAAACUCCUACGGAAGGCAGCAG
rnacentral:rRNA from 1 species